rnacentral:lncRNA from 13 species
GAGACAGACUGGAACCCAAACUGAUCAGAUCAGGAGGAGAGACUCUGUAGGAGACAGACUGGAACACAGGCUGAUCAGAUCAGGAGGAGAGACUCUGUAGGAGACAGACUGGAACCCAGGCUGAUCAUCACUAUCAGGAGGAGAGACUCUGUAGGAGACAGACUGGAACCCAAACUGAUCAGAUCAGGAGGAGNNNNNNNNNNNNNNNNNNNNNNNNNNNNNNNNNNNNNNNNNNNNNNNNNNNNNNNNNNNNNNNNNNNNNNNNNNNNNNNNNNNNNNNNNNNNNNNNNNNNNNNNNNNNNNNUGUGUGUGUGUGUGUGUGUGUGUGUGUGUCAUUAUGGAGACACCUGUUCCCAACCCUUUUUUCUACCCUCGCUUGGUUCUUUUUAUGGGGGAAAAGUCCUCAAUGAAACUGGCAUUAAAUGUGGAGAAUGAUACAAUUGCCUCUGUUGGCCAUCAAAUAACCUAUUCAUUUAUAUGCCAUGGUAGGCUACCAUUUGAUACAAUACACAUGUUGGAAUGACGAUAUCACUGGAGUCGUUGCAAAUUAAUGUGUGCCACUUGUGUAGCCUACCUGGAGCUGGCAAAUAAUACAUAUUUAUAUUAACUUCAGUGUAUUGUUGUUGUAGCCUUCUGUUAUUAUGCAAUUAUUAAUGGACAUGUUUAGUUAAUUAAAUUGGAAGCUAUCGAAGCUCUAUCGCAAUUGCCGAUUAGUUGUUAGAACGCAUUAGAUUGACAGUAAAAAAAUAGUCAUAUUAAGCUUCAGGUAAUUAAUAUUUAAUAUAUGUAAUUCUACAUCUUGUCUAGGCUACUGUAUACCAUCUGAAAUUAUAUGUAGGCUUAUCAGGAGCUAUAGACUAUCUGCCUUUAUCUACGUAAACCAUGACAGAGUUGAAUUACAAUAAUAAACCCAGAUUUUAGUCCUGUAGCCUAUUGAAAUGACAAGUCAAUCUCACAAAUGAGCCCUUUAUAACGGUUUUGUAUUUAUUCAUUUAUAACCGUUUGUAUUUAUUAACAUCUGGCACAUAAUAACAGCACAUUUACCCGAAAAUAACCUGACAUUAGUUUAUGUUAGUCCAAGUGUUUCUUGCUCAGAGAUUUCGAGAUCCUCUGUCCAACUUUCAUCGCUCAAACUCUCCUGUCGGAUUUAUCUAGUUAUGCACAUGCCCAGAGGGGAUUUAUUUACAAUUGUAAACCUGCUUUGAGCCCUGAAUGCUGAUUGGCUAUUAGCCGUGGUAUAUCAGACUAUAGCAAUACGGCAUACUGGGGGUUUGUGGUAUAUGGCCUAUAUACCACGGCUAACGGCUGUAUCCAGGCACACGCUUAAAAACAGCCCUUGGCCAUGGUAAAUUGGCCAUAUACCAUACGCCCGUGUGCCUUUUUGCUUAAUCAUACCAGUAAAACGAGUUAAAUUGACAUCCAUUGAUGGAAAAUUGUCUGGCGAGUUUAAUGAGGGCGAAUUAUCUUUUCUCCUGCGACAUAUUCACAUUCCUUCAUUAUGUCGUGUCAUAGCUCACAAUAAGUAUGUUGAUGAAAACCGAAUUUAUCUUCUAACGUCGUUACAAGUUACUACGAUAUUCGUUCUUAAUUCACUCGAUAACGUUAUGGAAACAGGGUUUAUUAUAUAAAUAUGUCAACUCCUCUUUCGCUUUAAAAAAAAAAUUAAUAUAUUUUUUUCUAAAAAAGGGCUAGUUUUAAGGCCUUUUGUGCGGGUUUUGAAUGGUCAAUCGGCUAGAAAUGUCCGUAAACCCUGGCAACCCUGCUUAGCUGUACCCCAUCUAGUCACAACCAGAGUCCAUCUAUGUUGGAUCAUUAUAGGCUAGGCUACUGCACAACGUGCACAUAAUACCAGCUACAUCACUGUGUGAGCAUGGACACGGACAGACAAUGCAUUGGGGGAUAAUGCUGCUUUAGCAUACUGAAUAACAUUAUCUUGUCUUGAUAUGCCAAAAUUGUGAGAGCAAUCUAAUAACGGGCGUGUGUAUUGCAAUGAUCGCACAUCACAGAUCGUAGCAUAAAUCUCAAUUGACUGUCAAGGCGCUACUACCGUACAUUCUAACAAAGCGCCGGCAUGUUCGUCCGCCUAUAAACGUUGUUUUGACAUUUCAGACAAAGAAUAAAUGUGUCAAGAACAGACUACAGCAUAGGUAACCGGUACAGUGCAUGAGCACAUGGUAUAGGUAGCCUAAUGAUAAUGAAUGAUGAUCCAGGUUCUUUUGUUCCACAUGCUGCACUACACAUGUGCCCAAACCUAAGCCCGCAAAAAGAGUAAGAAUGCUUUGACAUAACAUUGUGGGUGAAGAAAUAUGUCCAAUGGUAUUUUAAAAAGUUUCACUCACCGGAAUAGGAAGUCUGCCUGGACCAAUGUUUUGGAGAGCCCGCGAGCACUAGAUUGAUGUCCCGGGUGGAACCGUGGAAAAUAAUGUUACUGUCACAGCGUUCAAUCACUCCAUUAAACACAGAAUAAUAAUACAACAACUGACAAGUACUCUCUGUCGGACAACCCCUUUUAUAAAGCCAACCUGAAACACACCCGCAUCAUUCCAUAAACACGCCUUGUCCCUAGCGAUCUACAGUGCGCUGAAAUGUGUCCCAUCGUUCACACCCUCUCUUCCGCAAUAUACUGUAGUAGGCUACACAUUGGCGACAGCGCUUCCUUUCACUUGCUUUCACUUUAAAGUGCCACUGUACAAAUAACCUACAGUAGGCUAUCCUACACAUAUUUUUGUUAGCAUAUGGAGUCUUUAGAACAGUCUUAAGCACCUAUAGGAAAAUUGUUGACCUUCGUAACGCGGUUCGCAUGUCAACAGUAGCCUACACAUAUAGAG